CCAGUUUUUGAGGAAAUUGGAAAUUUCCGUUUUUCGCCAUUUUUAUCCUUCGGAAACUUUUUAAAAUAUGUUAUAGCUUUUUUGCUAUUGAAGAUAGAAACUUGAAUCAAAGGGUGGUAUAUACGCCCGAAGACUAAGGUUCUUUUAUAUAAGAAUGAAAUUUUUUGACAAACCAACAGUUUUUGAGAAAAUUGGAAAUUUCAGUUUUUUGCCAUUUUUAUCCCUCGUAAACUUUUCAAAAUAUGUUAUAGCUUUUUUGCUAUUGAAGAUAGAAACUUAAAUCAAAGGGUGGUGUAUAAGCCCAAAGAUUGAGGUUCUUUUAUAAAAGAAUGAUAUUUUUUGAGAAACCAACAGUUUUUGAGAAAAUUUGAAAUUUAAGUUUUUUGCCAUUUUUACA